AUUAAGUUAGUUUAAGAAAAAACAUUAGUCUGUGGAACUAAAAAUAAGAAUUAUUCUUACUUAAUC
rnacentral:tRNA from 1 species